UACGAAGGUCCCAAGCGUUAUCCGGAUUUAUUGGGUUUAAAGGGUGCGUAGGCGGGCUAUUAAGUCAGUGGUGAAAGCCCCAAGCUUAACUUGGGAACUGCCAUUGAUACUGAUGGUCUUGAGUACAUUUGAGGUGGGCGGAAUGUGUCAUGUAGCGGUGAAAUGCUUAGAUAUGACACAGAACACCGAUUGCGAAGGCAGCUCACUAAACUGUAACUGACGCUGAGGCACGAAAGCGUGGGGAGCGAACAGG
rnacentral:rRNA from 1 species